UACGUAGGGCGCAAGCGUUGUCCGGAAUUAUUGGGCGUAAAGAGCUCGUAGGCGGCCUGUUGCGUCUGCUGUGAAAUCCCGGGGCUUAACCCCGGGCGUGCAGUGGAUACGGGCAGGCUAGAGGCAGGCAGGGGAGAACGGAAUUCCUGGUGUAGCGGUGAAAUGCGCAGAUAUCAGGAGGAACACCGGUGGCGAAGGCGGUUCUCUGGGCCUGUACUGACGCUGAGGAGCGAAAGCGUGGGGAGCGAACAGG
rnacentral:rRNA from 1 species